UUCUUAACUUAACUGGCAGCCAC
rnacentral:miRNA from 1 species